GACCUUGCUGUUUCUAAUGGAGGAUAGAAACCACGGGGACUCUAUGGAAGAAAGAGAGGCAUUAGGAUGUCCCAUUUCUCAUCAAAACCAGGUAUGUCCCUGCUGCAAGACACAGACCAGGCAUGAUCGACCUAUGUACUCGGGACUUGUGGCACUUCUAAGUAUAUAGGCAGUGGACCGGUUCUGCUGCAUGAUUCAUGAACUUACAUGAUGUAAAGUUCAUGCUGCCUUCUUUCCUUUAACUGAAGAUUGCUGUUCUUUUGCAUCACCUCCCAAAUGCUUCUGCCUUUG
rnacentral:misc_RNA from 1 species